UUCAGCUGCCUGUUAGCAUGUGACACCAGUGGGUGGGAGGUAGGUGUCAGUAGCAUGUCUCUGGGCCAACUCGGGAUGCCCUGUCUCUCCCAGUCUUUCUGCUGGUUUCCUCUAAUAUCUUCAGUUACUACAAGCCAAGCUGUCUUGCCUACUGCACCAGCCCCAGUCAAGGACACUGGGGGCUGGUCCCCCACCAAGCUGUUGGGAGCCGCUUUCUCCUUAGGGGCCUAGGACCAUUUGUCCUGCUUCUCCUGGCUUGAGGAGAAAGGGUCUCAUGGCGCUAACAGCCUCAUUACAGUGGUGUGGACCCCAUAACAAACAGCCUAUAUAGGAUAUGCUCUGGAUGUUUCCAGCAAUUAAACUUUUCUAAGCUGGCUGCCUCUUGUGCUGCUCCACUCCCUGGGAAUAUAGAAAGAAGGAUACAGGGAUAUGAGUGAGCGAGCAAGAUUUGGGUCUGUUCCUGUUCGUGCUGGUUUCACUUUGCUACACGUUCCUUGUAAUAUACAGGAAAGAUGGCGCUCCGCUGACUGCAGCUCUGUUACACUAGGGAACCAGUGGUGCAUAGGAAAGCAAUGAGGAAACGGAAAAGGAGCUGACUUGGGCUCAUGGCAGGGUCAGGGCCUGAGGGGGAGAUGUUUCCGUUCCUAAAGUGAAAACUAAGAUCUGCAGGACCCAAUGGCAAGCAAAUGGAAGGUCAGCACUGUACGCAGGGAAGGGAGAGUGUGGAGGUAGGUUGGGCACUGGUCUAGGUCAGAGGUUCUCAGGCUGUGGGUCACAAACCCUUUUGGGAGGUCAAGUGACCCUUUCACAGGUGGCUUAACAUGUUAGAAAACACAGAUAUUUACAUUACGGUCCAUAAUAGUAGCCACAAAAAUAAUUUUAUAGUUGGGGGUCACCACAACAUGAGGAACUAUGUUAAAGGGUUAGGAGAGUUGAGAACCACUAGUCUAGAGGCAUCUGACUUAAGGCCAUUCACCAAACAUACAUGAGUACCCAUGCCAGGCAGCCGUCCCGGUGCUUGAUAGCUAGGAGUAAAGGCAUAAAUGUCCUGCUCACUGUGAGUGCCUACUCUAGUAGGAGACAUAGCAAUGAUAAUAAAUGUUAAAAAAAAAAAGAAGAAUUAUGUCAUAGAGCAGUGUCUCUCAUCCUUCCUAAUGCUGCAGCCCUUUGAUACAGUUCCUCAUGUUGUGAACCCCAAUCAUAAAAAAUACUUUCAUUGCUACUUCAUAACUGUAGUUUUGGUACUGUUAUAUAUCACAAUGUAAAUAUUUCUGGAGGUAGAAAUUUGCCAAAGGAGUUAAGAUGCACAAAUUGAGAACUAAGGGGAAAAAAGGAAGCAUGAAAUGAUAAUGGAGUCACAAGACCAUGUGUUGUUCCGAUUCUGAGUCUGUGGACUGUUGAGGAGAAACCCAGACACAAAGUACAGAUGAGUAGAUUUCAAAGUAGGGACGUGCGUGGCUGCUGGGCAAGAACUGGUCUGAUCUGGAUGUUGGUCAUGGCAAAACUGAACUGUACACUCCAAAAGGUGGAACUGCUUGGUGUGUGAAUUACGGCUGUCUUGAUGGAACUGUCCCAACACACAGACACACAGACCAGAGAAGGUCUUGUGAGGACUUGACGAGAAGCCUUUGCAAACCAAGCAAAGAAGCUUGACUAGAGACCAAACCUGGCAUAAAGAUUCCAGAAGCAGCUGGGCAGUGGUGGCGCACGCCUUUUGAUACCAGCACUCAGGAGGCAGAGACAGGCAGAAUGCAAUGAAUUCAAGGCCAGCCUGGUCUACAGAGUGAGUUCCAGGACAGCCAGAGUUACACAGAGAAACCCUGUCUCAAAAAAAACAAAAC
rnacentral:lncRNA from 1 species